UGCAAGUCGAGCGGUAGCACAGGAGAGCUUGCUCUCGGGUGACGAGCGGCGGACGGGUGAGUACUGUCUGGGAAACUGCCUGAUGGAGGGGGAUAACUACUGGAAACGGUAGCUAAUACCGCAUAACGUCGCAAGACCAAAGUGGGGGACCUUCGGGCCUCUUGCCAUCGAAUGUGCCCAGAUGGGAUUAGCUAUUAUGUGGGGUAACGGCUCACCUAGGCGACCAUCCCUAGCUGGUCUGAGAGGAUGACCACCCACACUGGAACUGAGACACGGUCCUCACUCCUACGGGAGGCAGCAGUGGGGAAUAUUGCACAAUGGGCGCAAGCCUGAUGCAUCCAUGCCGCGUGUGUGAAGAAGGCCUUCGGGUUGUAAAGCACUUUCGGCGGGGAGGAAGGCGAUGAGGUUAAUAACCUUGUCGAUUGACGUUACCCGCAAAACAAGCACCGGCUAACUCCGUGCCACCAGCCGCGGUAAUACGGAGGGUGCAAGCGUUAAUCGGAAUUACUGGGCGUAAAGCGCACGCAGGCGGUCUGUCAAGUCGGAUGUGAAAUCCCCGGGCUCAACCUGGGAACUGCAUUCGAAACUGAGCAGGCUAGAGUCUUGUAGAGGGGGGUAUAAUUCCAGGUGUAGCGAUGAAAUGCGAUAUAGAUCUGGAGGACUACCGGCUGAACGAAGGCGGCCCCGCCUGUGACUACUGACUGCACGACUCAGGUGCGAAGAGCGUGAGGAGCAAAGCAUGA
rnacentral:rRNA from 1 species